rnacentral:tRNA from 6 species
GGGCGAAUGGCGGAACUGGUAGACGCGCACGACUCAAAAUCGUGUUUCGUAAGAAGUGAGAGUUCGAUUCUCUCUUCGCCCACCA